AUGCCUCAGUACGGCGAGUGAGCGGCAACAGCUCAAAUUUGAAAUCUGGCCGCAAGGUCCGAGUUGUAAUUUGCAGAGGAUGCUUUUGGCGAGGUGCCUUCCGAGUUCCCUGGAACGGGACGCCAUAGAGGGUGAGAGCCCCGUACGGUUGGACCACCGAGCCUCUGUAAAGCUCCUUCGACGAGUCGAGUAGUUUGGGAAUGCUGCUCUAAAUGGGAGGUGUACGUCUUCUAAAGCUAAAUACCGGCCAGAGACCGAUAGCGCACAAGUAGAGUGAUCGAAAGAUGAAAAGCACUUUGAAAAGAGGGUUAAAAAGUACGUGAAAUUGUUGAAAGGGAAGCGUUUAUGACCAGACUUGGGCUUGGUUGAACAUCCGGCGUUCUCGCCGGUGCACUCUGCCAGUCCAGGCCAGCAUCAGUUUGUCCCGGGGGAUAAAGGCGGUGGGAAUGUGGCUCCCCCGGGAGUGUUAUAGCCCGCCGUGCAAUGCCCUGGGACGGACUGAGGAACGCGCUUCGGCACGGAUGCUGGCGUAAUGGUCAUCAACGACCCGUCUUGAACACCGGACCA
rnacentral:rRNA from 1 species